UGUGGGGUGGUCGAUCGAAGUCGGUAGAUUGUAAAUCUAUUUAUGAGUUGCAUAAACUCUCCCAUAA
rnacentral:tRNA from 1 species